rnacentral:rRNA from 1 species
UACGUAGGGUGCAAGCGUUAAUCGGAAUUACUGGGCGUAAAGCGUGCGCAGGUGGUUUGUUAAGCCAGCUGUGAAAUCCCCGGGCUCAACCUGGGCACUGCAGUUGGAACUGGCAAGAUAGAGUAGGGUAGAGGGGUGUGGAAUUCCAGGUGUAGCGGUGAAAUGCGUAGAUAUCUGGAGGAACAUCAGUGGCGAAGGCGACACCCUGGACUCAUACUGACACUGAGGUACGAAAGCGUGGGGAGCAAACAGG